UCUUGGUUUCUUUUCUCGCAUUUUACGACUAUUCUCUUUUUCUCUUAUUCUUGUCUCCUCUUUGCUAUACAUUUUGUUCUUCGUUUCUUUUCUUGCAUUUUGAUCAGGUGUCUGUUGUGAGUUCUACACAGGAUUUCUCUGCAUUCAGGUCUAUGCUAUUGAUUUAGUAUUUUAGAUUGUUGUUGUUGCUUCUCAUGAUGGUAUGUGAUUGGUUUAUUUAUUUAUUAAUGUUGUGAUUGGUUGGAGGAUUUGUGAAGGGAUUUGGAAUGGGAAAGGGCGUGUGAAACUACCUAAAAUAUAGGUAUAUUUUAUUUAUAUUUCACCUGUCUUUUCCAUUUUUCCUUUCAAAUUGCUCUUCAAAUCGCCCAACCAAACACAGCAUACGUGAGAAAUAAGUGAGUGGCAAAAAGGAAAAUCUAAGGCUCUGUUUUUAGGGUUUUGGUUUCAGUUUUGAUGUUAAUGAAUGGGUGUGUUGUAUAGUGGUAGUAAUGUUUAUUUAUUUAUUUUAAUUUUGACUCUCUAUUGGGUGUGUUGAGCAUUGCAGCAAGGGCUUGAGGUUUCUACUCAGAUUCAAUGGAUUAUUCAGCUGUGUAUUUUCUUUCUUUAGAAGUGAUAUUUUGUUAGAUGUUUCGGAUAUAUUGUAAAUGCUUUAAUUUCCUUAUGUUAAACCUAGAAGUGAUUUUUACUUCCUUUCAUUUUCAAUUAUUAAUUAUCUCCUUCAGCUUUAUUUGAUUGCCAACAAAAUUGAACAAAUAAAACAAUAUAUAACUAAUGUUUUUAAUUUUUUGUUUCUUAUACUUGAAUGUUAAAUAAUGCAUUUAUCAGUCUCUCUACCUUAUUGUAAAGAAUUGAUGUUAUGAUCUUUGUUUAGUUGGUAAUCGUUUGAGUUACUGGAAUUCAAAUUCAAAGGACCUUUCUAGGGAGCCUCUGCUUGUCAACUUAAAAAGAGACUUUCCAUAAGACACUGCAGAAAUUUUAAUUUGCAAAAAUGAAAAGAAAAGUAAAGGAGACAAAACAAGAGAAGUGUGAAUUGAUAGAAAUUCGUAUUAAUCCUUUUGAUAUGAUAUCCGUGGCUUUUCCUUAGAUGUUCAUUGACUGUGUGUGCAAUUUGAAUGACAAUAUACUUUUAACUUUGCAUGCCUUGAGAACUUAAUAUUGGUGAUCUACCAACUAUACUGCAGUCUGUUCUGGAUGUUGAUUAGGCUGUGGGUGUAUUUUUUUAUUUUUAUUUUUUUUAUAAAUAAUUUGAGGAAAGAAUUAACUUGCAUAUUUUGCUUAAGGUUUGGUGUGAAAGAAAGAAUUAUCUAUCUGUUCAAAUAAAAAACACACAACGACAAAAUAGUAGACUUGACAAAGUACAUUGUGUGUGUUUUAUUUGAACAGUAGAGUUGACAUUGUUCUGUCUUAGUUAUUGCUUUUUAAUGGUUGAUCUUGUUGAUGGAUUUUAUUUAUAGCUUAUGAUUUAAAUUUUUUUUAGUACGUAAAACCUACUUUUACAAAUGAUAACAAUUUUUCCAUACCAGGUUCUAUAAUUUUUCAAUAUCAAGUUAGUUUUUGGAACAAUUUUUAAUGAAACUACAGACUUUUGGGAAAUUUUGAGUAAACGAUUGUAACAUAACAAGGCAAAACAUGCCAUAUUGUCUUUGGGAUAAACAAAUUCAUGCAUUGAUCAGGAGUUGCUGCAAUCUAGAAGGAGAUGGGUACACGUUGGGAUCUUUGUAUGGAAACUGUUUGCAUGUUUUUUGUUUUUUUACUUAUGCUUUUGCAAGCAAGAAACAAUUUUAGAAGAGCCAUAUGUGCUUAUUAAUUUGUGUCUUUCUUGCAGGCGCGCCUUUGAAAGUUUGAUUUACCUAGACAUGCGUUAUCAAACAAUAUCUAUUAGAAAUGGGAGUAGACAAGGAAAAGGUGGAGAGAUUAGUCUUUGAGAUGAGCAAAGGUUUAAUUACGUUGAGAAUGAGGAAGCCAUAUCUCAUUCUUAGAAGGUAUUCUUUAGGAAAGCUGCGUACUUUGUCGUUGAUUUUCCAUGAUUGAUGUGCAACUUCACAACUUGCCAAGCAGAGUUUUUAUUUUUGAAAUUUGUGAAGGGCAUACAUACCAUGCUGUGGUAAACACACUGGACAGAUACAUGCAUAAGAGCCUACAUGAGUGAAUUUUUAUUU